GAUGAACGCUGGCGGCGUGCCUAAUACAUGCAAGUCGAGCGAACAGACGAGGAGCUUGCUCCUCUUACGUUAGCGGCGGACGGGUGAGUAACACGUGGAUAACCUACCUAUAAGACUGUGAUAACUUCGGGAAACCGGAGCUAAUACCGGAUAAUAUAUUGAACCGCAUGGUUCAAUAGUGAAAGACGGUUUUGCUGUCACUUAUAGAUGGAUCCGCGCCGCAUUAGCUAGUUGGUAAGGUAACGGCUUACCAAGGCAACGAUGCGUAGCCGACCUGAGAGGGUGAUCGGACACACUGGAACUGAGACGCGGUCCAGAUUCCUACGGGAGGCAGCAGUAGGGAAUCUUCAGCAAUGGGCGAAAGCCUGACGGAGCAACGCCGCGUGAGUGAUGAAGGUCUUCGGAUCGUAAAACGCUGUUAUUAGGGAAGAACAAAUGUGUAAGUAACUAUGCACGUCUUGACGGUACCUAAUCAGAAAGCCACGGCUAACUACGUG
rnacentral:rRNA from 1 species